GGAACGUGCUGUACUGAACGUCUUUACUUUCCAGAUGGCACCCCGAAGGUCUACACAAGGGCUCAAGUAGCGGAGAGGGAACGUGACAAAGUUCGGAGACUGGUUGAAGCUUUACUGGACAAGCGGAAUGACGCUGAGGAUCGUGUGGAUGAACUCGAAGAAAUUGUUCAUUGGCAAUCAAUCUGCGAAGGUGUCGAAUGGUACUAUCAUCUCAAUAUCACUGUGAAGACCAAAGAAGCUGCCAAGUGCCAAUGAUGCGGGCAGCACCAGUCUAUUCUUCGUUGAAGUCGCACGUGAUUCGAAUGAUAUCACAGGAUAUUAUAUCAACACUUUCUCCAGGGUUGACACUGACGGCCAGGAUCGUGGAGCUACCUGCAAUGGCUGUAUAAACAAUGAAAGUGAUGGUAUGAAGCACCCGCGUGCUGCUUCAUUCAAAGGCGGCCACGUUUCCCACUUGGUUUUG